CCAUGCUAGACGGGAAAUUAGCGAUGUCCUGAACCUGCAAUUCGCUACAGCAGGGUCGAAUUCCCUAUCUCGGUUUUUUGCUAUGCAGUCUGCCCUGAAAAAGUGGUGUUGAGAAUCGGGUCCUACGCAACGAAAACUUAUGAACCGUGUCAGGCCUUGAUCGGAGCAGCACUAAGUAAGACCUUUCGUGUGCCGUAUGGAGUGCCUUAUUUGAGCUAACUGUUCAGGUACCGUGUGGAGCAGAUCAUCAAAAUAGGGUGCAUGG
rfam:Peptoniphilus lacrimalis 315-B contig00009, whole genome shotgun sequence.